rnacentral:tRNA from 4 species
GGUUGGGUAGCGAAGAGGCUAAACGCGGCAGACUGUAAAUCUGCUCCUUAGGGUUCGGCGGUUCGAAACCGUCCCCAACCACCA